UGGGGAAUAUUGCACAAUGGGGGAAACCCUGAUGCAGCGACGCCGCGUGAGCGAUGAAGGCUUUCGAGUCGUAAAGCUCUGUCCUAUGGGAAGAUAAUGACGGUACCAUAGAAGAAAGCCCCGGCUAAUCACGUGCCAGCAGCCGCGGUAAUACGUAAGGGGCGAGCGUUGUCCGGAAUAAUUGGGCGUAAAGAGUGCGUAGGCGGCAAAUUAAGUCAGAUGUGAAAACUAAGGGGUCAACCCAUAGAUUGCAUCUGAAACUGCUAUGCUUGAGUCAAGGAGAGGGGAGUGGAGUUCCUAGUGUAGCGGUGGAAUACGUAGAUAUUAGGGGGAAUACCGGUGGCGAAGGCGACUUUCUGGACUUGAACUGACGCUGAGGCACGAAAGCGUGGGGAGCAAACAGG
rnacentral:rRNA from 1 species